CAAUCCAUGAGUAAAGUGGCGACCGGGUGAGUAACACGUGACUAACCUACCUUCGAGUGGGGGAUAACCUCGGGAAACCGAGGCUAAUACCGCAUAACAUCGCAAGAUCAAAGCAGCAAUGCGCUGGAAGAGGGGGUCGCGGCUGAUUAGCUAGUUGGCGGGGUAACGGCCCACCAAGGCGAAGAUCGGUAGCCGGCCUGAGAGGGCGCACGGCCACACUGGAACUGAAACACGGUCCAGACUCCUACGGGAGGCAGCAGUGGGGAAUUUUGCGCAAUGGGGGAAACCCUGACGCAGCAACGCCGCGUGGAGGAUGAAGCCCCUUGGGGCGUAAACUCCUUUCGACCAAGACGAUAAUGACGGUACUGGUGGAAGAAGCACCGGCUAACUCUGUGCCAGCAGCCGCGGUAAUACAGAGGGUGCGA
rnacentral:rRNA from 1 species